rnacentral:rRNA from 1 species
CCCUUAGAUGUUCCGGGCCGCACGCGCGCUACACUGACGAUGGCAACGAGUUUUUCCUUCGCCGAAAGGUGUGGGUAAUCUUUUGAAACAUCGUCGUGCUGGGGAUAGAUCAUUGCAAUUUUUGAUCUUGAACGAGGAAUUCCUAGUAAGCGCGAGUCAUCAGCUCGCGUUGAUUACGUCCCUGCCCUUUGUACACACCGCCCGUCGCUACUACCGAUUGAAUGGUUUAGUGAGGACUCCUGAUUGGCGCCGCCGCCCCGGCAACGGAGCAGCGGACUGCCGAAAAGUUGUUCAAACUUGAUCAUUUAGAGGAAGUAAAAGUCGUAACA